UACGUAGGGCGCAAGCGUUAUCCGGAAUUAUUGGGCGUAAAGAGCUCGUAGGCGGUUUGUCGCGUCUGCUGUGAAAACCCGAGGCUCAACCUCGGGCCUGCAGUGGGUACGGGCAGACUAGAGUGCGGUAGGGGAGAUUGGAAUUCCUGGUGUAGCGGUGGAAUGCGCAGAUAUCAGGAGGAACACCAAUGGCGAAGGCAGAUCUCUGGGACGUGACUGACGCUGAGACGCGAAAGCGUGGGGGAGCAAGCAGG
rnacentral:rRNA from 1 species